AUGAACGCUAGCGGCAGGCCUAACACAUGCAAGUCGAGGGGCAGCACGGUGUAGCAAUACACUGGUGGCGACCGGCGCACGGGUGCGUAACGCGUAUGCAACCUACCCAUAACAGGGGGAUAACACUGAGAAAUUGGUACUAAUACCCCAUAACAUCAGGACCGGCAUCGGUUCUGGUUGAAAACUCCGGUGGUUAUGGAUGGGCAUGCGUUGUAUUAGCUGGUUGGUGAGGUAACGGCUCACCAAGGCAACGAUACAUAGGGGGACUGAGAGGUUAACCCCCCACAUUGGUACUGAGACACGGACCAAACUCCUACGGGAGGCAGCAGUGAGGAAUAUUGGUCAAUGGACGCAAGUCUGAACCAGCCAUGCCGCGUGCAGGAAGACGGCUCUAUGAGUUGUAAACUGCUUUUGUACGAGAGUAAACGCUCUUACGUGUAAGAGCCUGAAAGUAUCGUACGAAUAAGGAUCGGCUAACUCCGUGCCAGCAGCCGCGGUAAUACGGAGGAUCCAAGCGUUAUCCGGAUUUAUUGGGUUUAAAGGGUGCGUAGGCGGUUUGAUAAGUUAGAGGUGAAAUACCGGUGCUUAACACCGGAACUGCCUCUAAUACUGUUGAACUAGAGAGUAGUUGCGGUAGGCGGAAUGUAUGGUGUAGCGGUGAAAUGCUUAGAGAUCAUACAGAACACCGAUUGCGAAGGCAGCUUACCAAACUAUAUCUGACGUUGAGGCACGAAAGCGUGGGGAGCAAACAGGAUUAGAUACCCUGGUAGUCCACGCAGUAAACGAUGAUAACUCGCUGUCGGCGAUACACAGUCGGCGGCUAAGCGAAAGCGAUAAGUUAUCCACCUGGGGAGUACGUUCGCAAGAAUGAAACUCAAAGGAAUUGACGGGGGCCCGCACAAGCGGUGGAGCAUGUGGUUUAAUUCGAAGCAACGCGAAGAACCUUACCUGGUCUUGACAUCCCUAUGAAUAACGGGCAAUGCCGUUAGUACUUCGGUACAUAGGAGACAGGUGGUGCAUGGUUGUCGUCAGCUCGUGCCGUGAGGUGUCGGGUUAAGUCCCAUAACGAGCGCAACCCCUACCGUUAGUUGCCAUCAGGUCAAGCUGGGCACUCUGGCGGGACUGCCGGUGUAAGCCGAGAGGAAGGUGGGGAUGACGUCAAAUCAGCACGGCCCUUACGUCCGGGGCUACACACGUGUUACAAUGGUAGGUACAGAGGGCAGCUACCCAGUGAUGGGAUGCGAAUCUCGAAAGCCUAUCUCAGUUCGGAUCGGAGGCUGAAACCCGCCUCCGUGAAGUUGGAUUCGCUAGUAAUCGCGCAUCAGCCAUGGCGCGGUGAAUACGUUCCCGGGCCUUGUACACACCGCCCGUCAAGCCAUGGAAGCUGGGGGUGCCUGAAGUUCGUGACCGCAAGGAGCGACCUAGGGCAAAACCGGUGACUGGGGCU
rnacentral:rRNA from 1 species